GAUGAACGCUGGCGGUGUGCCUAAUACAUGCAAGUCGAGCGAACGGACGAGAAGCUUUCUCCCCUGAUGUUAGCGGCGGACGGGUGAGUAACACGUGGAUAACCAUCCUAUAAGACUGGGAUAAUAUCGGGAAACCGGAGCUAAUACCGCAUAAUAUUUUGAACCGCAUGGUUCAAAAGUGAAAGACGGUCUUGCCGUCUCUUUUAGAUGGAUCCGCGCUGCAUUGGCUAGUUGGUAAGGUAACGGCUAACCAAGGCAACGAUGCAUAGCUGACCUGAGAGGAUGAUCGGCCACACUGGAACUGAGACACGGUCCAGACUCCUACGGGAGGCAGCAGUAGGGAAUCUUCCGCAAUGGGCGAAAGCCUGACGGAGCAACGCCGCGUGGGUGAUGAAGGUCUUCGGAUCGUAAAACUCUGUUAUUAGGGAAGAACAUAUGUAUAAGUAACUGUGCACAUCUUGACGGUACCUAAACAGAAAGCCACGGCUAACUUCGUG
rnacentral:rRNA from 1 species